AACGAACGCUGGCGGCGUGCCUAACACAUGCAAGUCGUGCGAGAAUGUUCCUUCGGGAGCGAGUAAAGCGGCGCACGGGUGAGUAACACGUAGGUAACCUGCCCCCCAGUCUGGAACAACUAGAGGAAACUCUAGCUAAUGCCGGAUGAGACCACGAUCCCUUCGGGGGUUGCGGCCAAAGAUGGCCUCUACUUGUAAGCUAUCGCUGAGGGAUGGGCCUGCGGGCCAUUAGCUUGUUGGUGAGGUAACGGCUCACCAAGGCUGUGAUGGCUAGCUGGUCUGAGAGGAUGACCAGCCACACUGGGACUGAGACACGGCCCAGACUCCUACGGGAGGCAGCAGUGGGGAAUAUUGCGCAAUGGGCGAAAGCCUGACGCAGCGACGCCGCGUGGGUGAUGAAGGCCUUCGGGUC
rnacentral:rRNA from 1 species